rnacentral:rRNA from 1 species
AGUUUUGAUCCCUGGCUCAGAAGUGAACGCUGGCGGUGUGCUUAACACAUGCAAGUCGAACGGUAACAGGUCUUUCGGGACGCUGACGAGUGGCGAACGGGUGAGUAAUGUAUAGCUAACAUGCCCUUUAGAGGGGGAUAGCCACUAGAAAUGGUGAUUAAUACCCCAUACUCCUUCUUCUCUCAAGAGUUGAAGGGAAACUUUUUGGCUAAGGGAUUGGGCUAUAUGGUAUCAGCUUGUUGGUGGGGUAACGGCUCACCAAGGCGAUGACGCUUAGCUGGUCUGAGAGGAUGAUCAGCCACACUGGAACUGAGACACGGUCCAGACUCCUACGGGAGGCAGCAGUGGGGAAUAUUGGGCAAUGGGCGCAAGCCUGACCCAGCAACACCGCGUGGAGGAAGACACCCUUAGGGGCGUAAACUCCUUUUAUAGCCGAUGAUAAUGACAGUAGGCUAUGAAUAAGCACCGGCAAACUCCGUGCCAGCAGCCGCGGUAAUACGGAGGGUGCAAGCGUUACUCGGAAUCACUGGGUGUAAAGAGCGCGCAGGCGGUAUUGUAAGCUGGAUGUGAAAGCCUACAGCUCAACUGUAGAACUGCAUCCAGAACUGCGAUACUGGAGUCUGGGAGGGGUAACUGGAAUUAGUGGUGUAGGGGUAAAAUCCGUAGAGAUCACUAGGAAUACCCAAAGCGAAGGCGAGUUACUGGAACAGAACUGACGCUGAGGCGCGAAAGCGUGGGGAGCAAACAGGAUUAGAUACCCUGGUAGUCCACGCCCUAAACGAUGGAUGUUAGUCGUUGGAGAGCAAGUCCCUUCAGUGAUGCAGCUAACGCAUUAAACAUCCCGCCUGGGGAGUACGGCCGCAAGGUUAAAACUCAAAGGAAUAGACGGGGACCCGCACAAGUGGUGGAGCAUGUGGUUUAAUUCGAAGAUACGCGAAGAACCUUACCCAGCCUUGACAUCGAUGGAAUCUGCCAGAAAUGGUGGAGUGCCUCUUUUUGAGGAACCUGAAGACAGGUGCUGCACGGCUGUCGUCAGCUCGUGUCGUGAGAUGUUGGGUUAAGUCCCGCAACGAGCGCAACCCUCGUCCUUAGUUGCUAACAGUUUGGCUGAGAACUUUAAGGAGACUGCCCUCGCAAGGGGGAGGAAGGUGGGGACGACGUCAAGUCAUCAUGGCCCUUACGGCUGGGGCGACACACGUGCUACAAUGGGUAGGACAGAAAGAUGCAAUACCGCGAGGUGGAGCGAAACUCUAAACCUACUCUCAGUUCGGAUUGCAGUCUGCAACUCGACUGCAUGAAGCUGGAAUCACUAGUAAUCGCGAAUCAGCCAUGUCGCGGUGAAUACGUUCCCGGGUCUUGUACUCACCGCCCGUCACACCAUGGGAGUUGAGUUCACCCGAAGCGGGGAGGCUAAAUUGGCUACCCUCCACGGUGGGCUCAGCGACUGGGGUGAAGUCGUAACAAAGGUAGCCCGU